rnacentral:rRNA from 1 species
GAUGAACGCUAGCUACAGGCUUAACACAUGCAAGUCGAGGGGUAACAAGGGGAAAGCUUACCUUCCUUGUUGACGACCGGCGCACGGGUGAGUAACGCGUAUCCAACCUGCCUAUAACUAGGGAAUAACCUUGCGAAAGUAAGACUAAUACCCUAUGAUUUCCUUUGAUGACAUCAGAUUAGGAAUAAAGAUUUAUCGGUUAUAGAUGGGGAUGCGUCUGAUUAGCUUGUUGGCGGGGUAACGGCCCACCAAGGCAACGAUCAGUAGGGGUUCUGAGAGGAAGGUCCCCCACAAUGGAACUGAGACACGGUCCAAACUCCUACGGGAGGCAGCAGUGAGGAAUAUUGGUCAAUGGGCGGAAGCCUGAACCAGCCAAGUAGCGUGCAGGAUGACGGCCCUAUGGGUUGUAAACUGCUUUUAUACAGGAAUAAAGUUAGCCACGUGUGGUUAUUUGUAGGUACUGUAUGAAUAAGGACCGGCUAAUUCCGUGCCAGCAGCCGCCGUAA